AAUUUGAGACUCGCAUGAUUGCAUAGUAUGAUGAAGAUGUAUCAUGUUGAUUCUCAAAUUCA
rfam:Pristionchus pacificus strain PS312 contig1880, whole genome shotgun sequence.